CUACGGGUGGCUGCAGUGGGGAAUUUUGGACAAUGGGGGCAACCCUGAUCCAGCCAUGCCGCGUGCGGGAAGAAGGCCUUCGGGUUGUAAACCGCUUUUGUCGGGGAAGAAACGGUCUGCGCUAAUACCGCGGGCUAAUGACGGUACCCGAAGAAUAAGCACCGGCUAACUACGUGCCAGCAGCCGCGGUAAUACGUAGGGUGCAAGCGUUAAUCGGAAUUACUGGGCGUAAAGCGUGCGCAGGCGGCUUUGCAAGACAGAUGUGAAAUCCCCGGGCUCAACCUGGGAACUGCAUUUGUGACUGCAUGGCUGGAGUGCGGCAGAGGGGGAUGGAAUUCCGCGUGUAGCAGUGAAAUGCGUAGAUAUGCGGAGGAACACCGAUGGCGAAGGCAAUCCCCUGGGCCUGCACUGACGCUCAUGCACGAAAGCGUGGGGAGCAAACAGGAUUAGAUACCCGAGUAGUCC
rnacentral:rRNA from 1 species